rnacentral:misc_RNA from 1 species
AACCUUAUGGACCUGCGGGCGUAUACCUGCGGAAGGAUCAUUAUUGAAUAAACUUGGUCAGGCUGUUGCUGGUCCUUCGGGGCAUGUGCACGCUUGCCACCAAUUUUAACCACCUGUGCACCUUUUGUAGAUUGGAAACGUUUCUCGAGGCAACUCGGAUUGAGGACUGCUGUGCGCAAGCCAGCUGUUCUUGUGUUUCUCAAUCUAUGUUUUCAUAUACUCCUAAUGUAUGUAUCAGAA